rnacentral:sRNA from 1 species
CUGCCGUGUAAGGCGGAAGCGGAAGAGCAGGUCUCCAGGGGAGCGAUGGCAGCCGGUGGUCUGAGUCGCUCCGAGCGCAAAGCGGCUGAGCGGGUCCGGAGGUUGCGGGAGGAGCAGCAGAGGGAGCGCCUCCGCCAGGUACGCCGCCGCCGCUCCCCGGCCCGGCCAUGCCCGGCCCGCGCCGCCGCUCACCGCCUGCCUGCCCGCAGGUGUCGCGCAUCCUGAGGAAGGCGGCGGCGGAGCGCAGCGCCGAGGAGGGCCGGCUGCUGGCCGAGAGCGCGGACCUGGUAACGGAGCUGCAGGGCCGGAGCCGGCGGCGCGAGGGCUUGAAGCGGCGGCAGGAGGAGGUGUGCGACGACCCGGAGGAGCUGCGGGGGAAGGUCCGGGAGCUGGCCAGCGCCGUCCGGAACGCCAAAUACCUGGUCGUCUACACAGGCGCGGGAAUCAGCACGGCAGCGUCUAUCCCAGACUACCGGGGCCCUAAUGGAGUGUGGACACUGCUUCAGAAAGGGAGAAGCGUUAGUGCUGCGGACCUGAGUGAGGCCGAGCCAACCCUCACCCACAUGAGCAUCACCCGUUUGCAUGAGCAGAAACUGGUGCAGCAUGUGGUGUCUCAGAACUGUGACGGGCUCCACCUGAGGAGUGGGCUGCCGCGCACGGCCAUCUCCGAGCUCCACGGGAACAUGUACAUUGAAGUGAGCAGUCCUGCAGGGACCCGGGGUCUCCACGGGCAGGCGGGUCCCACUCACUGUGCCCUCUUGCCUCUAGGUCUGUACCUCCUGCGUUCCCAACAGGGAGUACGUGCGGGUGUUUGAUGUGACAGAGCGCACCGCCCUCCACAGACACCAGACAGGCCGGACCUGCCACAAGUGUGGGACCCAGCUGCGGGACACCAUUGUGCACUUUGGGGAGAGGGGGACGUUGGGGCAGCCUCUGAACUGGGAAGCGGCGACCGAGGCUGCCAGCAGAGCAGACACCAUCCUGUGUCUAGGGUCCAGCCUGAAGGUUCUAAAGAAGUACCCACACCUCUGGUGCAUGACCAAGCCCCCUAGCCGGCGGCCGAAGCUCUACAUCGUGAACCUGCAGUGGACCCCGAAGGAUGACUGGGCUGCCCUGAAGCUACAUGGGAAGUGUGAUGACGUCAUGCGGCUCCUCAUGGCCGAGCUGGGCUUGGAGAUCCCUGCCUAUAGCAGGGUCUUAUAGGGGAAAUCAAUAACUUCUUUUAAUCAAAGGGUUCAAGAAAUUAAGGAUCCCUUCACCUUCUGGGCCUGGCACUUCUUGUGUCAGGAUCCCAUUUUCUCACUGGCGACUCCCCUGCGUGCUGGUGAAGAAGGCAGUCACAGUCGGAAGUCGCUGUGCAGAAGCAGAGAGGAGGCCCCGCCUGGGGACCGGGGUGCACCGCUUAGCUCGGCCCCCAUCCUAGGGGGCUGGUUUGGUAGGGGCUGCACAAAACGCACAAAAAGGAAGAAAGUGACGUAACCUGGUGCUCGAUGAAGAACAGUUGGCACUUUGCAGAUGGCCAGUGUCACGGUGAAGGCUGGGUUGCCCCCACGGGUCUAGGGAGAACUCUUUGGGGAUGAUGUUUUCACCGUAACAUUUUUAGCCAUUUGUCCUUGAGGAAGCCCCUUGCACUGCUGCGGUUGUCUACGGCUUGGCCAUCGAGGACACCUGCCCAUCCGGCCCCUAUGUCAAGAGGUGGCAGCCGCACCUUUCUGUGAGAACGGAACUCGGGUUAUUUCAGCCCCGGCCUGCAGAGUGGAAGCGCCCAGCGGCCUUUCCUCACUCACCAGGCCAGUCUCAGGGCCUCACCGUAUUUCUACUACUUCUUAACGAAAAAAGUGUGAACUUUAUAGAAUCCUCUCUGUACUGGAUGUGCGGCAGAGGGGUGGCUCCGAGCCUCGGCUCUAUGCAGACCUUUUUAUUUCUAUUAAACGUUUCUGCACUGGC